GUGGUGGCUCAGUGGUAAAGCACUUGCCUGGUAUGUGCGAGGCCCUGGGUUCGAUCCUCAGCACCACA
rnacentral:tRNA from 1 species